rnacentral:rRNA from 1 species
GAUGAACGCUGGCGGCGUGCCUAAUACAUGCAAGUCGAGCGAACAGACGAGGAGCUUGCUCCUCUGACGUUAGCGGCGGACGGGUGAGUAACACGUGGAUAACCUACCUAUAAGACUGGGAUAACUUCGGGAAACCGGAGCUAAUACCGGAUAAUAUAUUGAACCGUAUGGUUCAAUAGUGAAAGACGGUUUUGCUGUCACUUAUAGAUGGAUCCGCGCCGCAUUAGCUAGUUGGUAAGGUAACGGCUUACCAAGGCAACGAUGCGUAGCCGACCUGAGAGGGUGAUCGGCCACACUGGAACUGAGACACGGUCCAGACUCCUACUGGAGGCAGCAGUAGGGAAUCAUCCGCAAUGGGCGAAAGCUUGACGGAGCAACGCCGCGUGAGUGAUGAAGGUCUUCGGAUCGUAAAACUCUGUUAUUAGGGAAGAACAAAUGUGUAAGUAACUAUGCACGUCUUGACGGUACCUAAUCAGAAAGCCACGGCUAACUACGUG